UCGUAUACUCCCAAAAAAUAAAAAAAAACUUCUUACCACGCUUUUGGUGUUUCCGACUUAUCAAAACAUCCUCACCCGCGAAAUCGCAACAAAGUCUUCGGAAAUUAGUCGGCCGCUUGGGAGAAUCAACCUUUAGCAUCGCGAGACGUCGCAAAAGAUGCCCCAAAGUUGGUUUCUUCCGAGCAAACGAAAUCUCCGCAAAAAGACACAUACAUGCACACAUUAACA
rnacentral:lncRNA from 1 species